ensembl:snRNA U2 U2 spliceosomal RNA
AUCGCUUCUCGGCCUUUUGGCUAAGAUCAAGUGUAGAAUGACGGGGAAAUAAGAUUUCUGAAAGGCUUAUUGUGCUCUUAGCAGUUAAAUUAUAUCUUUUUAAAAAUAUGUGUGCUUUUUUAGACUCAUU